UACCAUCACCCCGAGUGGUCGGGACGAUUAUUGGGCCUAAAGCAUCCGUAGCCGGUUCUGCAAGUCCUCCGUUAAAUCCAGCUGCUCAACAGAUGGGCCGCGGAGGAUACUACAGAGCUAGGGGGCAGGAGAGGCAAGCGGUACUCAGUGGGUAGGGGUAAAAUCCGUUGAUCCAUUGAAGACCACCAGUGGCGAAGGCGGCUUGCCAGAAUGCGCUAGACGGUGAGGGAUGAAAGCUGGGGGAGCAAACCGG
rnacentral:rRNA from 1 species